GAUGAACGCUGGCGGCGUGCCUAAUACAUGCAAGUCGAGCGAACAGACGAGGAGCUUGCUCCUCUGACGUUAGCGGCGGACGGGUGAGUAACACGUGGAUAACCUACCUAUAAGACUGGGAUAACUUCGGGAAACCGGAGCUAAUACCGGAUAAUAUAUUGAACCGCAUGGUUCAAUAGUGAAAGACGGUUUUGCUGUCACUUAUAGAUGGAUCCGCGCCGCAUUAGCUAGUUGUUAAGGUAACGGCUUACCAAGGCAACGAUGCGUAGCCGACCUGAGAGAGUGAUCGGCCACCCUGGAGCUGGGACGCGGUCCAGACUCCUACGGGAGGCAGCAGUAGGGAAUCUUCCGCAAUGGGCGAAAGCCUGACGGAGCAACGCCGCGUGAGUGAUGAAGGUCUUCGGAUCGUAAAACUCUGUUAUUAGGGAAGAACAAAUGUGUAAGUAACUAUGCACGUCUUGACGGUACCUAAUCAGAAAGCCACGGCUAACUACGUG
rnacentral:rRNA from 1 species